CCUACGGGGGGCAGCAGUGGGGAAUAUUGGGCAAUGGGCGCAAGCCUGACCCAGCAAUGCCGCGUGAAGGAAGAAGGCUUUCGGGUUGUAAACGUCUUUGACAGGGGAAGAGCAGAAGACGGUACCCGGAAAACAAGCCACGGCUAACUACGUGCCAGCAGCCGCGGUAAUACGUAGGUGGCAAGCGUUGUCCGGAUUUACGGGGGGGAAAGGGCGGGUAGCCGGGAAGGCAAGUCAGAUGUGAAAUCUGGAGGCUCAACCUCCAAAUUGAAUUGGAAACUGUUUUUCUUGAGUACUGGCGUGGCAGCCGGACUUCCUUUUGUAGCGGUGCCAUGCUUAGAUAUCAGUCGG
rnacentral:rRNA from 1 species